rnacentral:misc_RNA from 1 species
GAUGAAGAACGCAGCGAAAUGCGAUAGUAAUGUGAAUUGCAGAAUUCAGUGAAUCAUCGAAUCUUUGAACGCACAUUGCGCCCCUUGGUAUUCCGAGGGGCAUGCCUGUUCGAGCGUCAUUAUAACCCCUCAAGCUCAGCUUGGUGUUGGGGCCUGCUGCACUGGCAGCCCUUAAAAUCAGUGGCGGCGCCAUCUGGCUCUAAGCGUAGUAAUUCUUCUCGCUAUGGAGUCCUGGUGGAUGCUUGCCAUCAACCCCCAAUUUUUCUAUGGUUGACCUCGGAUCAGGUAGGGAUACCCGCUGAACUUAAGCAUAUCAAUAAGCGGAGGA